rnacentral:rRNA from 1 species
GAUGAACGCUGGCGGCGUGCCUAAUACAUGCAAGUCGAGCGAACGGACGAGAAGCUUGCUUCUCUGAUGUUAGCGGCGGACGGGUGAGUAACACGUGGAUAACCUACCUAUAAGACUGGGGUAACUUCGGGAAACCGGAGCUAAUACCGGAUAAUAUUUUGAACCGCAUGGUUCAAAAGUGAAAGACGGUCUUGCUGUCACUUAUAGAUGGAUCCGCGCUGCAUUAGCUAGUUGGUAAGGUAACGGCUUACCAAGGCAACGAUGCAUAGCCGACCUGAGAGGGUGAUCGGCCACACUGGAACUGAGACACGGUCCAGACUCCUACGGGAGGCAGCAGUAGGGAAUCUUCCGCAAUGGGCGAAAGCCUGACGGAGCAACGCCGCGUGAGUGAUGAAGGUCUUCGGAUCGUAAAACUCUGUUAUUAGGGAAGAACAUAUGUGUAAGUAACUGUGCACAUCUUGACGGUACCUAAUCAGAAAGCCACGGCUAACUACGUGCCAGCAGCCGCGGUAAUACGUAGGUGGCAAGCGUUAUCCGGAAUUAUUGGGCGUAAAGCGCGCGUAGGCGGUUUUUUAAGUCUGAUGUGAAAGCCCACGGCUCAACCGUGGAGGGUCAUUGGAAACUGGAAAACUUGAGUGCAGAAGAGGAAAGUGGAAUUCCAUGUGUAGCGGUGAAAUGCGCAGAGAUAUGGAGGAACACCAGUGGCGAAGGCGACUUUCUGGUCUGUAACUGACGCUGAUGUGCGAAAGCGUGGGGAUCAAACAGGAUUAGAUACCCUGGUAGUCCACGCCGUAAACGAUGAGUGCUAAGUGUUAGGGGGUUUCCGCCCCUUAGUGCUGCAGCUAACGCAUUAAGCACUCCGCCUGGGGAGUACGACCGCAAGGUUGAAACUCAAAGGAAUUGACGGGGACCCGCACAAGCGGUGGAGCAUGUGGUUUAAUUCGAAGCAACGCGAAGAACCUUACCAAAUCUUGACAUCCUUUGACAACUCUAGAGAUAGAGCUUUCCCCUUCGGGGGACAAAGUGACAGGUGGUGCAUGGUUGUCGUCAGCUCGUGUCGUGAGAUGUUGGGUUAAGUCCUGCAACGAGCGCAACCCUUAAGCUUAGUUGCCAUCAUUAAGUUGGGCACUCUAAGUUGACUGCCGGUGACAAACCGGAGGAAGGUGGGGAUGACGUCAAAUCAUCAUGCCCCUUAUGAUUUGGGCUACACACGUGCUACAAUGGACAAUACAAAGGGCAGCGAAACCGCGAGGUCAAGCAAAUCCCAUAAAGUUGUUCUCAGUUCGGAUUGUAGUCUGCAACUCGACUACAUGAAGCUGGAAUCGCUAGUAAUCGUAGAUCAGCAUGCUACGGUGAAUACGUUCCCGGGUCU